AUUGAACGCUGGCGGCAUGCUUUACACAUGCAAGUCGAACGGGGUGAAGGGGCAACUCUUCAUUCAGUGGCGAACGGGUGAGUAAUGCAUCGGAACGUGUCCCGUAGUGGGGGAUAACUCGGCGAAAGCCGAGCUAAUACCGCAUAUGCUCUGCGGAGGAAAGCAGGGGACCUGAAAGGGCCUUGUGCUAUGGGAGCGGCCGAUGUCCGAUUAGCUGGUUGGUGGGGUAAUGGCCUACCAAGGCGACGAUCGGUAGCUGGUCUGAGAGGAUGAUCAG
rnacentral:rRNA from 1 species